UGUUUAAUAUGUAAGUUACGUUUCUACUGAAAAUUAACCAUUUAACUUUUCAUAAAUUUUUCUUUGCUCUUCGUGUUCGGUGCGAUGAAUGUAAAUCACAUUUUUGGCCAAUAGAGGACGUGGUUGUUUCCUAAAUGGAGCGAGAAAAAUAACCACCAAGGACCAGAAUCCUAUUCGCUCAUCUGCGCACGCGCUCAGCCUUCGCAAGGUUCUGACGGAAACGCGCGAAAUUAGUCCGGUGCCUGUGAAAAUUAGAACGUACAGUACAAUAUUCUGUGAUUUGCUUUUGCAAACACGUAUCCUACUAUAUUAUUCGCGUGUCGCUAAUGUUAAAGCUACUGUGGUGUUCACUUAAAUUAUUCUAAGUUUGGGAUGUCCGAAUAAACUUGCUGCGAUUCGGAACGCAUUGGAGAAAUUUGGUACAUUGCGGAUAGAAGCUUUAAUCAGGUUUUGGUGGAGUGAUGUGCACAGAUCACACUGCCCAUUCUGCGGGCGCGGCACUGGCAGGACCUGGUGUGUCUUUAACCCUGAAUACUGUGGCUGAAGAACUUUUAAGAGACAUAAAGAAGGCCUAUGAGGAGAGCUCGAAAAUUCCAGAUGAUCUUCUGCUGGCGUUGAAGUUCGUCUUCGGUUCCUCGGCACUCCAGGCCCUGGACCUGGUCGAUCAGUGCUCUGUAACCUGCCUCUCCUCGCCCAGCGGCCGCAAGGUGUUUCAGGUGCUCGGGGGCUCUGGAAGAGUGUACAUCUGCCUUGCUUCAUGCCACUACUGCCCUUGUCCGGCAUUCGCCUUCUCUGUGAUGCGGAAGAACAACAGCUUGCUGCCUCUCAACCCGCUUCUCUCUCACAGUGUAAACACAUCUUGGCAGUGCACCUCUGCCAGGCCAUGGGUCUGACCCAGCAGGAGUCCGUGUCUGACCGGCAGAUGUCCGAAAUUCUCUCUGGGAGACUGGGAAACGGAACGUAGCCUCUGUGGGCUUGGUGGCAUUUGGAUGGUCGAGCCUGAGAGCUGCUUCCUGAGAUGGCUAUGAAGUGAAGCAAUGCAGGAAGUGACUGCAGCCAACCCGACACACACGCCCACAGCCACGUGACGGUGCCUUCACUGGCAAUUACAGCUUUAUUUCCCUGUUGUUAUUAAUCGCUCAUACCUACAGCAGUGUCUGAGUCUGGGGAAAACAGAUACAAUCACUUUUCGAAAUACAGACACUUUUCUUUGAUGAGGUUACUUAAGUGCUUUCCUUCUGAUCAGAUACUGAACACCUUUUAAAGAAAUGUUACUUUUAUUAAAAAAAAAAAAACAAUUCUCUUACAGAUUUACAGUUACAGUAAGUUUGUACUGGUCAUAUAAUUUACCUAGCACAGCCCUAAGUAAAGGAAACCUGCCAUCAGAUGACAGAUGUUAACAUGUUAGAGAGAGAUUUUAUAGGUUAUGACCCUGCAAAAGUUGGUGGAGUUAAGCUUGUUCUUUAGUUAGAGAAUCCCUUAAAAGAUCAAGGUUUUCCUGAUCCUGUCCCUUUUAGCCCUUAAAGUCCCCAGUUUCAGGUAGGCUGUUUUGAAAGGAAAGCAUAUCUGUCAUUUUGACUUUGAAAUAUUAAUACUGGAUAUAUUUAAGAAGUAGUCUGAGAGGAAGACCAUACAAUGAUAUAAAUCUGAUAAAUCCUGAAUCUACAGAUAUGAGUGAUGUGGUUUACGAUCUGAAUAAAACUGAAAGUAUGAUGUCUAAAAGGAACUAGAUGCGGAUAUCAUAGUGUAGACAUGAUUUGUCAGUAAGCUGUUCUAUGUAUUUGUGAGUAAACUGACAAUCCUGUGAGUCAGAUCACCAGGUAUUCAUCUUUCAACUGACCCUCUUUGGGCUCUCCUUUUCAGUCAGUGCUGCUCGUCAUUACUGGUUUCUGCUGCCGUGUUCAUUUCUGCACCACACCAAUGAGUUACGACACGUCUUGGGGGUGAGAGUCAGCAGGUCGGAACCUAACAAAGGGAGCCUGGGCCUAAAAUGUAGACCCAGCCUAGAAACCCAGUCAACUUAAUGAUUGCAUUUGAAUAUGUCGUUGGGUCACAUUUCUCGAUUAAUGCCAGCAUUCAUGUUUGAAGGUACGGUUGAUGUGACAGGAAGCUGAAGAGGAUGUGAAACAGGCUGGCUGUGCUGAGAGCCGGAGCUCCACCACCUGUGGUAUCUUCCACAGAAACCUAGGCAAUGUAAAUUAUUUUCUCAUACUUAGCAGAUUACUGCAUGGGUUCUACUGCGUGUGUUUAUGUGGGGUUCAGCACUGAAAACAGAUAUGAUCUCAUCAAAAAAAGUCCAUUGUGGAAAGUCUGAGCCAGUUUUCCAGUAACAUGGUGACGACUAGAUUCACAUUUGGCUAAAGUUAAUUACAUCUUCAAUGUACCCUGUCUUCACAGGGAGAACGUGUAGGUAAUACUAAGGUAUAAUUUAUUACUUUUGAAACAUCUUCCAUAGAAUAUUACAAAAGAGAUUAAGUAUGAUUCACAUUAUCGCGUCACCGAAGAUACAGGUAAAUGGUUCGAUUUCUUUUGUGAUUCUGUCCACUCCUUAUUCUGUGGUUUUCCUGAGGUUACUAAAUAAACACUGAAACUGCAGAGAGAGCAGUUCCUUAGAACAGUUCUUGACCUCUUUCAUAACACAUUGACACAAUUAAUUGUAGUCUGGCGACAAAGCGAUUCUCUUACGACCAGCUUCAGCACUAUUGCACAUUUUGGACUUGCUGAUGUCAGCACAGGGCUUCUCUACAGGAGUCAGUGGGUAGAUCAUGUUUUGUUCAACAAAAGUUAAUCUUUGUCAAAGUCCAUGUGUGCUGCCUGACGAGGUUUGACAGUUCUAUGCAUCUUUUCCUAGCUAAUCCAAUAAAUAAUCCAUGGUGAAAUGUGCCCAAUAACUGCAUUAAAGAAGGAAAGCUAAAAAAAAAAAUGGAAAA